UUCAAAUGCAAGUUGCAUCCCCAAAUGCGAGGCUGGCCUGACCAAAAAGAGCCAUUCGGCGUCCAAGAGAGGCGAGACUCGCUCUCCGGUUCUCAUCCUUCCCUUUUCUGCUCUCUACCCCCUUUCUCUUCUCUGGUUCCUGAUUUAGCUGGGAGCUGUUUAUUUAUGGCUGCAAAUGUGUGCGUGCGAGAGCAAGCAAGAGAGAGAGGGGGAAUUGAUCUUUGCCUGGACUUAAAGAUGGAGACGAAGGAGCUGGAGGGAAUUUGGGUUUGUGCUUCUGGCUCAGACCCUGGGCACCGAGGGGAGUCGCUGGGCUAGGAGCCCGAGGUCUUCUCCUGCCCUUUACCCCGCGACCUUGCAGGAAUCUGCCGGCCCAGAAGCCGCCGGGCUGACACACCUGCCCCGGGCGGGGCUGCAAAGAAAGUCUUCGGACAGAAGGCCACCCUGCCCCUGUCUUUAAAAUGAGCGCAAUAAAAGGGGGCAAAUCCUCGAACACGAACCUGAUCUCAUGUCACAGAAGCAACUUGCCAUGAAAUCAGCUAAUGCGCUGCGACUCGCCCACCAGGCUCCCAGCGUCACUGUAACCAGCGUGCUCCCAAAGCGGUCGUUUUCCUCGAAUGCGCUCACCGCCCGCCACACUCGAAGAAUUCAGCCCACAGAGGUUUUGGAAACCCCAUUUUAGUGAUUCCAGCUUAGACAUUGAAACCCCUGGAGCCUCCCGGGAAAGGGAACCGCCAGUCCCGGGCCAAGCAGGCGGUCCCAGGCAGUCGCGCGCGCGAACACAACAUACACACACACCCGCACACGCACACGCACGCGCGCGCACAGAGGGAUGGAGCAGUUCUUUCCAGGAUCGAAGGCUGGAUGCGGAUGUGGUAGGUAGUGGCUGACAGAGCCAGGAAGACUUUGGCGCUGUCAGAGUCCGGAAACCAAUAAAGUACCGUCAUCUUCAAAGUUAUUUGGAGAAAAGGACCCAGGACCUGGGUUUGCAAAGUUAGGAGCAAGGGACAGAUCACGCAGCAUUUCUUUGGAACGAGGCAGAAUUGGGAACUGUCCAACUGGACCAGCGUUGCGGCAAAGUGGAAAUUAGGAGAUUUGUUUUGCUGGCACAGAGAAGCACUCGUCCUCCGACGGAGAGCUCACUCCUGCACAGGGGGCCUCGGCAGCCACUGUGCUUCACAAUCGCCCUACUGGCCAGGUCCAGGUUUGGCCAGGCAAGUAAGACGAGCAGAACUCGAUAGUAAAUUAUUUUAUUCAGCCUUCUGUCUUUUUAUGAAAAUAAAAGGCAACACUUUGUCAUUUUUAAUCACAUAAGCAGACAAUAAAUCUAAUUUUGAUAUUGAUUUUUUCCACAAUCAAGUGAUUUUUUU